rnacentral:rRNA from 1 species
UACGUAGGUGGCAAGCGUUAUCCGGAUUUAUUGGGCGUAAAGGGAACGCAGGCGGUCUGUUAAGUCAGCGGUCAAAGCCCGGGGCUCAACCCCGGCCCGCCGUUGAAACUGGCAGUCUCGAGUUGGAGAGAAGUAUGCGGAAUGCGCGGUGUAGCGGUGAAAUGCAUAGAUAUCGCGCAGAACUCCGAUUGCGAAGGCAGCAUGCCGGCUCCACACUGACGCUGAGGCACGAAAGCGUGGGUAUCGAACAGG